rnacentral:rRNA from 1 species
GACGAACGCUGGCGGCGUGCUUAACACAUGCAAGUCGAACGAGUGGCGAACGGGUGAGUAACACGUGGGGGAUCUGCCUUGCACUACGGGGUAAACUUGGGAAACUGGGUCUAAUACCGGAUAGUGCAAGGUGAGCGCGCGGCCUAUCAGCUUGUUGGUGGGGUAAUGGCGACCCCGGCGCGCCGGGUAGCCGGCCUGGGAGGGUGUACGGCCACAUUGGGACUGAGAGACGGCCCAGACGCGUACGGGAGGCAGCAGUGGGGAAUAUUGCACAAUGGGCGGAAGUGUGAUGCAGAGACGUCGGGGGGGUGAUGAAGGCCUUCGGGUUGUAAACGCCUUUCGACAGGGACGCGGUACCUGUAUAAGAAGCACCGGCUAACUACGUGCCAGCAGCCGCGGUAAUAC